AGUGAACGCUGGCGGUAUGCCUAACACAUGCAAGUCGAACGGCAGCACAGUAAGAGCUUGCUCUUACGGUUGGCGAGUGGCGGACGGGUGAGGAAUACAUCGGAAUCCACUUUUUCGUGGAGGAUAACGUAGGGAAACUUACGCUAAUACCGCAUACUACCUACGGGUGAAAGCAGAAGAGCUUCGGACCUUGCGCGACUGAAUGAGCCGAUGUCGGAUUAGCUAGUUGGCGUGGUAAAGGCCCACCAAGGCGACGAUCCGUAGCAGGUCUGAGAGGAUGAUCAGCCACACUGGAACUGAGACACGGUCCAGACUCCUACGGGAGGCAGCAGUGGGGAAUAUUGGGCAAUGGGCGAAAGCCUGAUGCAGCCAUGCCGCGUGGGUGAAGAAGGCCUUCGGGUUGUAAAGCCCUUUUGUUGGGAAAGAAAAGCAGCAGGUUAAUACGCCGAUGUUCUGACGGUACCCAAAGAAUAAGCCCCGGCUAACUUCGUG
rnacentral:rRNA from 1 species